UACGUAGGGCGCAAGCGUUGUCCGGAAUUAUUGGGCGUAAAGAGCUCGUAGGCGGCUUGUCGCGUCUGUUGUGAAAUCCCCGGGCUUAACCUGGGAAUUGCAUUUCAAACUGGCCGACUAGAGUACGGUAGAGGGAGGUAGAAUUUCCUGUGUAGCGGUGAAAUGCGUAGAUAUAGGAAGGAAUACCAGUGGCGAAGGCGGCCUCCUGGAUCGAUACUGACGCUGAGGCGCGAAAGCGUGGGGAGCAAACAGGGA
rnacentral:rRNA from 1 species